CCUACGGGAGGCUGCAGUGGGGAAUAUUGCGCAAUGGGCGAAAGCCUGACGCAGCGACGCCGCGUGAGGGAUGAAGGUCUUCGGAUCGUAAACCUCUGUCAGCAGGGAAGAACGGUCACUGUGCUAAUCAGCAGUGAAUUGACGGUACCUGCAAAGGAAGCACCGGCUAACUCCGUGCCAGCAGCCGCGGUAAUCCGGAGGGUGCGCGCGUUAAUCGGAAUUACUGGGCGGAAAGCGCUCGUAGGCGGUAUGUCAAGUCAAGGGGGAAAUCCCCGCGCUCAACGUGGGAACUGCCUUUGAAACUGGCAAACUGGAGUGUGUGAGAGGAUAGUGGAAUUCCAGGUGUAGGAGUGAAAUCCGUAGAUAUCUGGAGGAACAUCAGUGGCGAAGGCGACUAUCUGGCACAUAACUGACGCUGAGGAGCGAAAGCGUGGGUAGCAAACAGGAUUAGAUACCCGAGUAGUC
rnacentral:rRNA from 1 species